UGGGGAAUCAUGGUCAAUGGGCGAAAGCCUGAACCUGCGACGCCGCGUGAGUGAUGAAGGUCGUAAGAUCGUAAAACUCUUUUCUGAGGGAAGAACAACCGGGACAGGAAAUGGUCUCGGCCUGACGGUACCUCAGGAAUAAGCAACGGCUAACUCUGUGCCAGCAGCCGCGGUAAUACAGAGGUCCCAAGCGUUGUUCGGAUUCACUGGGCGUAAAGGGUGCGUAGGUGGUGGGAAAAGUUCGAUGUGAAAUCUCCGGGCUUAACCCGGAAACGGCAUUGAAUACUUUCUUGCUCGAGGAUCGGAGGGGAGACUGGAAUUCUCGGUGUAGCAGUGAAAUGCGUAGAUAUCGAGAGGAACACCAGUGGCGAAAGCGAGUCUCUGGACGAAACCUGACACUGAGGCACGAAAGCUAGGGGAUCAAACA
rnacentral:rRNA from 1 species